AACGAACGCUGGCGGCAUGCCUAACACAUGCAAGUCGAACGAGACCUUCGGGUCUAGUGGCGUACGGGUGCGUAACGCGUGGGAACCUGCCCUUAGGUUCGGAAUAACUCCCCGAAAGGGGUGCUAAUACCGGAUAAUGUCUUCGGACCAAAGAUUUAUCGCCUUUGGAUGGGCCUGCGUUGGAUUAGCUAGUUGGUAGGGUAAAAGCCUACCAAGGCGACGAUCCAUAGCUGGUCUGAGAGGAUGAUCAGCCACACUGGGACUGAGACACGGCCCAGACUCCUACGGGAGGCAGCAGUGGGGAAUAUUGGACAAUGGGCGAAAGCCUGAUCCAGCAAUGCCGCGUGAGUGAUGAAGGCCUUAGGGUUGUAAAGCUCUUUUACCCGGGAUGAUAAUGACAGUACCGGGAGAAUAAGCUCCGGCUAACUCCGUG
rnacentral:rRNA from 1 species